rnacentral:rRNA from 1 species
GUCUACGACCAUACCACCCUGAACGCUUCCAAUCUCAUCUGAUCCUGGAAGCUAAACAGGGUUGAGCCUGGUUAGUACUUGGGAUGGGAGAAAUGGUCAAAUUUCCCAGCUCCCACUAUAGGGUGUUGCUUUCU